GGAUAAAUAGGUUCAAGCCCCUUUAUUUUGCAAAAAUAAAGUUAAGAAUUUUUUUUCUUUUUAUCUU
rnacentral:tRNA from 1 species